CUUCAAAAUCCCGCACGGUUACAGUAACCCUAGCCGAAAGCGUACAUCUUAUAGCCAAACGAAUUCCGAUGCUAGCACUCCGGGCGUCCGUUCGUCUUUACAAUAACCCUAGCCGAACGGAUCAUCUUCCAGGCGAUCGACUUCAUCUCCUCCGGACCGUUUCGAAAGCUAUCACACCCGAGCAUUCCACUUCCGCCUGCCGCAACAUGCCGUUUCACUUGCACCAAAGCAUAUGCAUUUACACCCGAUCGGUUACUUCUCCAUCCCGACCGUUCCAAAUCCGAUCGCCGCACUGAAAAGAAUGCUUGAAAGUAUACCCUUAUCUAUUUGGGAGCUGCUAGGUGAGAUGAAGAGGGAGGAGUAGUGUAAAGGGGAAGAUUCUUGAGGGAAAUAGGAAGGCUCAUUUGAAGGUGUGGCUGAGCUGCAAGGCUUCCUCACCAUCAAGGGAACAACAUCUUCCAGCAUCCCUUGUGGCCUCUGGACAUCAGUGAGAAGUCCGUUGCAUUUAAGCUUGCUGCAUGCUGGUCAUUUUUCUGGGAGAGGAGGAUAUGGGAGUAGGUGAAGUGGAGGUGGAGACCUUCAUAGGUCACUAUGACUGUCUCGGGAUCUUCUGUCGAUCUCUCCACCUGCUUCUUUG